GUCUUGAACCAGAAUGGCCUCCAUCGUGAGUUGCCACAAGCCGAAGUUGACAUUUCUGUCGAAUUUCUCGACAACAAUCUUUGUUAUUGUCAUCGUUGCCAAAAGAUCCCAGAACCAGGCUCUGAUACCAGUUUGUUAGAGCUAGCCCCAUGAAAUUUACCACAAGGUAAUUUUGACAACCCAACAAGACAAUAAAAUGAAAAGAUAAAAGCGAGACAAGAACACCAGAACACCAGAUAUACGUGGUUCGGUCAAUUGACUUUGACCUACAUCCACGGACGAAAGAGGAGCAAUUACUACUGCAAAAGAGGGACAAUUACAAAUGCCUUAGGAAGAUGU
rnacentral:lncRNA from 1 species